GUUAUAAUAGCUUAAAUAUAAAGCAUUGGUCUUGUAAAUCAAAUAUUAAAUAUAAAUCUAUUUUUAUAACU
rnacentral:tRNA from 1 species